AGCAGCAUGGCGCAGAUGGAAGCGCGCGGGGCCCAUAUUUGUCUGAUGAUUUACUCGUUGAGUAAUCUACGCAACCCCGAGGUCACUCGAUCGAAACGAGUUGCUGCUA